CCGCCGGGCGGGUGCUAUACAUGCAGUCGAACGAACUCUGGUAUUGAUUGGUGCUUGCAUCAUGAUUUACAUUUGAGUGAGUGGCGAACUGGUGAGUAACACGUGGGAAACCUGCCCAGAAGCGGGGGAUAACACCUGGAAACAGAUGCUAAUACCGCAUAACAACUUGGACCGCAUGGUCCGAGUUUGAAAGAUGGCUUCGGCUAUCACUUUUGGAUGGUCCCGCGGCGUAUUAGCUAGAUGGUGGGGUAACGGCUCACCAUGGCAAUGAUACGUAGCCGACCUGAGAGGGUAAUCGGCCACAUUGGGACUGAGACACGGCCCAAACUCCUACGGGAGGCAGCAGUAGGGAAUCUUCCACAAUGGACGAAAGUCUGAUGGAGCAACGCCGCGUGAGUGAAGAAGGGUUUCGGCUCGUAAAACUCUGUUGUUAAAGAAGAACAUAUCUGAGAGUAACUGUUCAGGUAUUGACGGUAUUUAACCAGAAAGCCACGGCUAACUACGUGCCAGCAGCCGCGGUAAUACGUAGGUGGCAAGCGUUGUCCGGAUUUAUUGGGCGUAAAGCGAGCGCAGGCGGUUUUUUAAGUCUGAUGUGAAAGCCUUCGGCUCAACCGAAGAAGUGCAUCGGAAACUGGGAAACUUGAGUGCAGAAGAGGACAGUGGAACUCCAUGUGUAGCGGUGAAAUGCGUAGAUAUAUGGAAGAACACCAGUGGCGAAGGCGGCUGUCUGGUCUGUAACUGACGCUGAGGCUCGAAAGUAUGGGUAGCAAACAGGAUUAGAUACCCUGGUAGUCCAUACCGUAAACGAUGAAUGCUAAGUGUUGGAGGGUUUCCGCCCUUCAGUGCUGCAGCUAACGCAUUAAGCAUUCCGCCUGGGGAGUACGGCCGCAAGGCUGAAACUCAAAGGAAUUGACGGGGGCCCGCACAAGCGGUGGAGCAUGUGGUUUAAUUCGAAGCUACGCGAAGAACCUUACCAGGUCUUGACAUACUAUGCAAAUCUAAGAGAUUAGACGUUCCCUUCGGGACAUGGAUACAGGUGGUGCAUGAUGUCGUCAGCUCGUGUCGUGAGAUGUUGGGUUAGUCCCGCAACGAGCGCAACCCUUAUUAUCAGUUGCCAGCAUUAAGUUGGGG
rnacentral:rRNA from 1 species